CACGUAGGAGGCGAGCGUUGUCCGGAAUCAUUGGGCGUAAAGAGCGCGCAGGCGGCUUGGCAAGUCUAGGGUGAAAGCUCCCGGCUCAACUGGGAGAGGUCCUUGGAUACUGGCAGACUUGAGGAGGGUAGAGGAGAGUGGAAUUCCCGGUGUAGUGGUGAUAUGCGUAGAUAUCGGGAGGAACACCAGUGGCGAAGGCGGCUCUCUGGGCCCUACCUGACGCUGAGACGCGAAAGCGUGGGGAGCGAACCGG
rnacentral:rRNA from 1 species